CAGUCGCCACGGGAAUAUGUAGGUGGCAGGCGUUGUCCGGAAUUAUUGGGCGUAAAGGGCUCGCAGGCGGUUUCUUAAGUCUGAUGUGAAAGCCCCCGGCUCAACCGGGGAGGGUCAUUGGAAACUGGGAAACUUGAGUGCAGAAGAGGAGAGUGGAAUUCCACGUGUAGCGGUGAAAUGCGUAGAGAUGUGGAGGAACACCAGUGGCGAAGGCGACUCUCUGGUCUGUAACUGACGCUGAGGAGCGAAAGCGUGGGGAGCGAACAGGAUUAGAUACCCCGGUAGUCCCUGUCUCUUAUAC
rnacentral:rRNA from 1 species